UACGGGGGAGCAAGCGUUGUUCGGAUUUACUGGGCGUAAAGGGCGCGUAGGCGGCCAGCACAAGUCAGUUGUGAAAUCUCCGAGCUUAACUCGGAACGGUCAACUGAUACUGUGCGGCUAGAGUGCGGUAGGGGACCACGGAAUUCCUGGUGUAGCGGUGAAAUGCGCAGAUAUCAGGAGGAACACCGGUGGCGAAGGCGGUGGUCUGGGCCGGCACUGACGCUGAGGAGCGAAAGCGUGGGGAGCAAACAGG
rnacentral:rRNA from 1 species